rnacentral:rRNA from 1 species
UUGACCAUUUGUCUGAUAACUGACCUUCAAAUC